rnacentral:rRNA from 1 species
GACGAACGCUGGCGGCGUGCUUAACACAUGCAAGUCGAGCGGUAAGGCCCUUUCGGGGGUACGACGAGCGGCGAACGGGUGAGUAACACGUGGGUGACCUGCCCUCAGCUCUGGGAUAAGCCUGGGAAACCGGGUCUAAUACCGGAUAUGACUCCAUGACGCAUGUUGUGGGGUGGAAAGCCUUGUGCGGCUGAGGAUGGGCCCGUGGCCUAUCAGCUUGUU